rfam:Amycolatopsis orientalis HCCB10007, complete genome.
CUUGACCGAACCGAGCAGCAACGGCCGUUCCCGGUCCUGGCCGUAGGUCGCCAGCAGCGCCUGAGCCUC